AACAGUGUGGCUUAGUGGCAAGAGCAUGACCUUGGGAGUUAGAGGUUGUGGGUUCUAAUCCCACCUCUGUCA
rnacentral:tRNA from 1 species